rnacentral:tRNA from 1 species
GGCCUUGUAGCUCAGCUGGUAGAGCUUGCGCGUACAAGCGUAGGCGGCGUCUAUGCGUGGGUUCGAAUCCCACCGAGGCUA